CCUACGGGAGGCAGCAGUGGGGAAUUUUCCGCAAUGGGCGAAAGCCUGACGGAGCAAUACCGCGUGAGGGAAGAAAGCCUACUGGGUUGUAAACCUCUUUUUUCAGGGAGGAAAAAAAUGACGUGUACCUGAAGAAUAAGCAUCGGCUAACUCCGUGCCAGCAGCCGCGGUAAGACGGAGGAUGCAAGUGUUAUCCGGAAUUACUGGGCGUAAAGCGUCUGUAGGUGGUUUAAUAAGUCAACUGUUAAAUCUUGAGGCUUAACUUCAAAACAGCAGUCGAAACUAUUAGACUAGAGUAUAGUAGGGGUAAAGGGAAUUUCCAGUGGAGCGGUGAAAUGCGUAGAUAUUGGAAAGAACACCGAUGGCGAAAGCACUUUACUGGGCUAUUACUAACACUCAGAGACGAAAGCUAGGGUAGCAAAUGGGAUUAGAUACCCCAGUAGUCCUAGCUGUAAACAAUGGAUACUAGAUGUUGAACAGAUCGACCUGUGCAGUAUUAAAGCUAACGCGUUAAGUAUCCCGCCUGGGAAGUAUGCUCGCAAGAGUGAAACUUAAAAGGAAUUGACGG
rnacentral:rRNA from 1 species